rnacentral:rRNA from 1 species
AGCAGCCGCGGUAAUUCCAGCUCCAAUAGCGUAUAUUAAAGUUGUUGCAGUUAAAAAGCUCGUAGUUGAAUUUCGAGAUCGGCUUACUGGUCGUGCUAUUGUACGUACUGGUAUAAUCGGUUUCUCCUUUCUGACGAACUAUAAUGCCAUUAAUUUGGUGUUUUAGGGAAUCAGGACUGUUACUUUGAAAAAUUAGAGUGUUUAAAGCAGGCUCACGCUUGAAUACAUUAGCAUGGAAUAACGGAAUAGGACGUUUGAUUCUAUUUUGUUGGUUUCUAGGAUCGACGUAAUGAUUAAUAGGGAUAGUUGGGGGCAUUAGUAUUCAAUUGUCAGAGGUGAAAUUCUUGGAUUUAUUGAAGACUAACUACUGCGAAAGCAUUUGCCAAGGAUGUUUUCAUUAAUCAAGAACGAAAGUUAGGGGAUCGAAGACGAUCAGAUACCGUCGUAGUCUUAACCAUAAACUAUGCCGACUAGGGAUCGGAUGAUGUUAAUUUUUAAUGACUCAUUCGGCGCCUUACGG